rnacentral:rRNA from 1 species
UGAGCAACCUGCCCUUGACCCUGGAAUAACAGCUGGAAACAGCUGCUAAUACCGGAUAUGACCUCCGAUGGCAUCAUCUGGAGGUGGAAAGCUCCGACGGUCAAAGAUGGGCUCGCGGCCUAUCAGCUUGUGGUGAGGUAACGGCUCACCAAGGCUUCGACGGGUAGCCGGCCUGAGAGGGCGACCGGCCACACUGGGACUGAGAUACGGCCCAGACCUCUACGGGAGG